GUCCACGCUGUAAACGAUGAAUACUAGGUGUGCGGGACUGACCCCUGCGUGCCGCAGUUAACACAAUAAGUAUUCCACCUGGGGAGUACGAUCGCAAGGUUGAAACUCAAAGGAAUUGACGGGGACCCGCACAAGCGGUGGAGUAUGUGGUUUAAUUCGUCGCAACGCGAAGAACCUUACCAGGCCUUGACAUGCCCUCUAUGGGGACCAGAGAUGGACCCCUUACUUCGGGUGGAGGAGCACAGGUGCUGCAUGGCUGUCGU
rnacentral:rRNA from 1 species